AGUCAUAUGCUUGUCUCAAAGAUUAAGCCAUGCAUGUCUAAGUAUAGACAACUUUAUACUGUAAAACUGCGAACGGCUCAUUAUAUCAGCAAUUAUUUAUUUGAUGGUUCCUUACUACAUGGAUAACUGUGGUAAUUCUAGAGCUAAUACAUGCGCCCAAACCCGACUCCGUGGAAGGGUUGUGUUUAUUAGUUACAGAACCAACCCAGGCUCUGCCUGGUCUUGUGGUGAUUCAUAAUAACCGAAUGAAUCGCAUUGCAUCAGCUGGCGAUGAAUCAUUCAAGUUUCUGACCUAUCAGCUUCCGACGGUAGGGUAUUGGCCUACCGUGGCAAUGACGGG
rnacentral:rRNA from 1 species